rnacentral:lncRNA from 1 species
AAAGUGCUCCCCAUCCGGAAGCUUUGUUUUUAAAAUCUAUUCAUUCAUUCAUAAAAACUAUUCGAAAAUCUUUUAAAACUGUUUUCCACUCGAAAACUCUAUUUUGAAAACCAACUACCAUGAGAGGUAGAAAACCACGAUGCAUAAAUAUGUAAAUCCAAAACCAAAUAUUAAUGAAUCUCCAAUCGCAUGUAUCAUAGAAAAACAUCAACUCAAACCAGUUCACGAACAUUCAAACAUUCAUAGUGAUCAUCUAACUGAACCAUUUAAUUAUUUAAAUUACUAAUGCGGAAAUGAAACAUAACCAG